rnacentral:rRNA from 1 species
GUAGGUGGCAAGCGUUGUACCGGAAUUAUUGGGGCGUAAAGCGCGCGCGAGGGCGGUCCUUUAAGUCUGAUGUGAAAGCCCACGGCUCAACCGUGGAGGGUCAUUGGAAACUGGGGGACUUGAGUACAGAAGAGGAAAGCGGAAUUCCAAGUGUAGCGGUGAAAUGCGUAGAGAUUUGGAGGAACACCAGUGGCGAAGGCGGCUUUCUGGUCUGUAACUGACGCUGAGGCGCGAAAGCGUGGGGAGCAAACAGGAUUAGAUACCCUGGUAGUCCACGCCGUAAACGAUGAGUGCUAAGUGUUAGGGGGUUUCCGCCCCCUUAGUGCUGCAACUAACGCAUUAAGCACUCCGCCUGGGGAGUACGGCCGCAAGGCUG